UACAGAGGUCUCAAGCGUUGUUCGGAUUCAUUGGGCGUAAAGGGUGCGUAGGCGGCGCGGUAAGUCGGGUGUGAAAUCUUGGAGCUUAACUCCGAAACUGCAUUCGAUACUGCCGUGCUUGAGGACUGGAGAGGAGACUGGAAUUUACGGUGUAGCGGUGAAAUGCGUAGAUAUCGUAAGGAAGACCAGUGGCGGAGGCGAGUCUCUGGACAGUUACUGACGCUGAGGCACGAAGGCCAGGGGAGCAAACGGG
rnacentral:rRNA from 1 species